rnacentral:lncRNA from 1 species
GAUCAUCCAUACUAGAAACCUUCAGAUCUACUCUCUCCGUCGACGAUCUGUCAGAACGCUUCAGAUCUGAGAUAAGCGCAACUGAGAGGUGCGUCGUAGGAGGAGGCGACGGUGAAGGUACCGGUAGAGUUGGGGAGCAUAGAGGGAUGGAUUCCGGUACCUUCAGCUCGGUUUCUUCUUUCUCUCUCUUCUGCGCCGCCAUGAUUGAGAGAUUUCUAGAGAGAGAAAAUGGAAAUGAAAUGGGAAUUUGGGGUGUUGGG